rnacentral:rRNA from 1 species
CAGGUUUACCUGUGUGACUGCGUACCUUUUGUAUAAUGGGUCAGCGACUUAUAUUCUGUAGCAAGGUUAACCGCAUAGGGGAGCCGGAGGGAAACCGAGUCUUAAUUGGGCGUUAAGUUGCAGGGUAUAGACCCGAAACCCGGUGAUCUAGCCAUGGGCAGGUUGAAGGUUGGGUAACACUAACUGGAGGACCGAACCGACUAAUGUUGAAAAAUUAGCGGAUGACCUGUGGCUGGGGGUGAAAGGCCAAUCAAACCGGGAGAUAGCUGGUUCUCCCCGAAAGCUAUUUAGGUAGCGCCUCGUGAAUUCAUCUCCGGGGGUAGAGCACUGUUUCGGCUAGGGGGCCAUCCCGGCUUACCAACCCGAUGCAAACUGCGAAUACCGGAGAAUGUUAUCACGGGAGACACACGGCGGGUGCUAACGUCCGUCGUGAAGAGGGAAACAACCCAGACCGCCAGCUAAGGUCCCAAAGUCAUGGUUAAGUGGGAAACGAUGUGGGAAGGCCCAGACAGCCAGGAUGUUGGCUUAGAAGCAGCCAUCAUUUAAAGAAAGCGUAAUAGCUCACUGGUCGAGUCGGCCUGCGCGGAAGAUGUAACGGGGCUAAACCAUG